GACGAACGCUGGCGGCGUGCUUAACACAUGCAAGUCGAACGGAAAGGCCCUGCUUUUGUGGGGUGCUCGAGUGGCGAACGGGUGAGUAACACGUGAGUAACCUGCCCUUGACUUUGUGAUAACUUCAGGAAACUGGGGCUAAUACCGGAUAGGAGCUCCUGCUGCAUGGUGGUGGUUGGAAAGUUUCGGCGGUUGGGGAUGGACUCGCGGCUUAUCAGCUUGUUGGUGGGGUAGUGACUUACCAAGGCUUUGACGGGUAGCCGGCCUGAGAGGUUGACCGGCGACAUGGGGACUGAGAUACGGCCCAGACUCCUACGGGACGCAGCAGGGGGGAAUAUUGCACAAUGGGCGGAAGCCUGAUGCAGCAACGCCGCGUGCGGGAUGACGGCCUUCGGGUUGUAAACCGCUUUCGCCGGUGACGAAGCGUGAGUGACGGUAAUGGGUAAAGAAGCACCGGCUAACUACGUG
rnacentral:rRNA from 1 species